UGUCGUAAACAUUAAAACCUUGGUUAUGUUUUUUUACAACAAACCUUGACAGAUUUCUCUGGAAAUUUUUCAACCUUGGUCUUGUCAUAUAUAAAUUCUAUGGUUCUUUGUUGACCGCUAUUAGAAAGAAAACACGUUAUUUGUAGAGACGUACGUAAUAUAAGAAAAUUCAUUUAAAAUAAUUUGUGAAUUUUAUAUUACAUAUAAAGGGAGAUUUAUUUUUAUUAACGAGUUAAAAUCGUUCAUUGAUCUGACUGGGACGUUAUAUUUAAUCAUUUGUUUUCCUCAUUUGUCAAAAAGGAAGGAUAUUUUUCAAGUUUUCGUUGAUCUUUUCUAUUAGAAGAAGAUUUCAUUGAAAUUAUACUCAGUUCGUAAAAAAAUGAUUUAAUAGUCAUAGAGAAAACUUUCGAAGAGAGAAAAAAUAGUGUGAAAUUUUGAAAGUGUGAAACAAUUUCUUUGGAACCAAUUUGAAGUUCUGAGUAUAAGAGACUAGAAGAAUAUUUUAGCAAAUAUAUUUUUAAGAAACACUGUCACAACACAUAAACAAGUUGGAUUAGAGUUGUCUAUAUAGAUUGUGUUCCUAAGAAAUGCUAAUGAACAAUAGAACUGGGCACGCUUUUCCCCUGUAUUAUCCAGGACCACGGGUGUAUCAACAUCGGCCAUGUUAUCAAGGACCAGAUUGCACGUGUCCACCAGCAAGGGCACCUGAUACAUUUCUUCAUCAGAUAUUGACGGGAAAAGGAUAUAAAAAUGACUGUCUGUUUGUUAAUCGACCAAUCAAACAGGAAGUUUAUCAAGAUUAUAGCUGUUGCUAUGGUAAUGGAUAUCCUCCAUCAUAUCCAUAUUCCCAUCAAUAAAAGGAAACUUUUCCAGGACCAGAUUCAGACCAGAUAAAAAAAUUGCAAGAUUUGGAGAAUAAUAUUUGAAUUGCAAAAAAUUGUACUGUUUGGGAGGUGUCUAUCUAUUUCUUUAUUUUGUUUUCGUCAAUCAAUUUUUUUUUAUGAAAAGGGUUACCUCAUAUGAAUAGGUGUGCAUCGGCACUCAUCAUUUCACAACGGACCUAUGUCAUUGACCAUCUUCUAGGGCUACUCGUGUGUGAAUAUUUACAUGCAAAUCUUAACUAUAUUAAGUGCCAUAGUCAUCAACUAUUUGUGUUCAUUUUUUUUUUAAAAUAUAAACAAAAUCAGAUUCAAAUGAACGAAUGUAUGAAAAACACAGAAAAAACAAAACUUUCAUUAGAAAAUUAUGACUCUAGACUGAGUGUUGAAAUCUUGUUUUUUUCAAACCCAUUUCAGUUUUGUUUUAAUCCAGGAAGAUUUGUAAAAGUGAUUUGUUGCGAAAAUCCGUUUACUGAAUAAAAAAGAUAGAAAUUAAAGCUGGUUAAUGCUCUUGUAUUGUAAUAUUGGAUCUCUUAUGUUCGCGUUUUUUAAUAAAAAAAUAUUUCUGGAAUCAAAGACCAUCAUAUAUUUCGAUGGAGAAAAAUCGUUAAGGUACAGUUUUUUACCUGGUGCCUUGGAAAUUAUAUAAUUGCACAUGUACACCAGUUUACAUAUCUAAAUUAUGUUAUUAAAUAUAUUUAU